AAGAGGUACGUGAGCUGGGUUUAGAACGUCGUGAGACAGUUUGGUCCCUAUCUACUGUAAACGUUAGAAAAUUAAAGAGACUGUUCCUUAGUACGAGAGGACCGGGAAACGUAAACCUCUGGUGUGUCGGUUGUUUUUUAAGCAGCGCCGAGUAGCUAAGUUUAUUUCAUAUAAUCACUGAAAGCAUCUAAGUGAGAAACUUACUCUAAGAUAAUUUUUCUUUAGGCUGGAAUAGACUAUUCCUUUUAGAUUUUAAAAAUUUUAAAAUAGUUAUUUUAUGUAAUAUUAGUAAUA
rnacentral:rRNA from 1 species